rnacentral:lncRNA from 1 species
GUGGCUGCAGUGUCCGUCCAGUGGUUGCAGUGCCCCCAGCAUUGUCCUGAAAGUUGAUGCAGUGCCUAUGCAGUGGAUGCAGUGAAUCUUCAGUGAUUGCAGUGCACCUGCAGUGCCACUUCUGCUGGCUGCAGUGUCCCUGUUGUGAUUGCAGUGCCCCCUUCUGUGUCCCUGAAUGUGGAUGCAGUGCCCAUGCAGUCAAUGCAGAGUACCAAAAGUCGGUUGCCAUAUGCUGUUACAGAGGAUGCAGUGAGCUGACAGUGAUUGCAGUACGCCUUCAGUGCCACUUCAGCAGAAUUCAGUGUCCCUGCAGUUGUUGUGAUGCCCCCUGCAUUGUCCUGGAAUGUGGAUGCAGUGCUCAUGCAGUGGAUACAGUGUCCCACAAUGUGGAGGCAUUGUGGUGUGUUGUAGGAUGCAGUGCCAAUGAAGGUGAAUGCAGUGCCCAUGAAGUGGCUGCAGUGUACCUAAGGUUUAUGCAGGAUGUUGUGACAGAGGAUGCAGUGCCCAUGAACCUUGAAGCAGUGAUCCUGCAGUGCUUGCAGUGCCCCCCACAUUCUCCAGGAAUGUGGAUGCAGUAGUCAUGCAGUGUCCCACAAGGUGGAUGCAGUAUGUUGUGAU